rnacentral:rRNA from 1 species
GCCUUAGUAACGGCGAGUGAAGCGGCAAAAGCUCAAAUUUGAAAUCUGGCACCUUCGGUGUCCGAGUUGUAAUUUGAAGAAGGUAACUUUGGAGUUGGCUCUUGUCUAUGUUCCUUGGAACAGGACGUCACAGAGGGUGAGAAUCCCGUGCGAUGAGAUGCCCAAUUCUAUGUAAAGUGCUUUCGAAGAGUCGAGUUGUUUGGGAAUGCAGCUCUAAGUGGGUGGUAAAUUCCAUCUAAAGCUAAAUAUUGGCGAGAGACCGAUAGCGAACAAGUACAGUGAUGGAAAGAUGAAAAGAACUUUGAAAAGAGAGUGAAAAAGUACGUGAAAUUGUUGAAAGGGAAGGGCUUGAGAUCAGACUUGGUAUUUUGCGAUCCUUUCCUUCUUGGUUGGGUUCCUCGCAGCUUACUGGGCCAGCAUCGGUUUGGAUGGUAGGAUAAUGACUAAGGAAUGUGGCUCUACUUCGGUGGAGUGUUAUAGCCUUGGUUGAUACUGCCUGUCUAGACCGAGGACUGCGUCUUUUGACUAGGAUGUUGGCAUAAUGAUCUUAAGCCACCCGUCUUGAAACACGGACCAAGGAGUCUAACGUCUAUGCGAGUGUUUGGGUGUAAAACCCGUACGCGUAAUGAAAGUGAACGUAGGUGAGAGCUCUUAAGAGUGCAUCAUCGACCGAUCCUGAUGUCUUCGGAUGGAUUUGAGUAAGAGCAU